AGUAUUUUGACUAUACAAAGGUAUUGUAAUAAGACUUUAAUUGAGUGCUAAGAGAAUGGAAUUACAGAGAUUUACUUUUUUGAAUUUAAAAAUUAAAGUUAUUUUUAUUUGUGAAGAAACAAUAAUUAAAAUUAAGGACAAGAAGACCCUAAGAAUUUUUAAAAUUUAAUUUUAAAUAAAACUAAAGUGUUUUUUUAAUUGGGGAGAUUAAUAAAUAUUUUAACUUUAUUUAUACAAAAAUAUGAACCAGUAAUACUGGUUAUAUGAAAAAAUACUCUAGGGAUAACAGCGUAAUAAUUUUAGAUAGUUCAUAUAGACAAAAUAGUUUGCGACCUCGAUGUUGGAUUAGGAUUCUUUUUUAAUGAAGAAGUUAAAAAAAGAAGUUUGUUCAACUUUUAAAUUCCUA
rnacentral:rRNA from 1 species